UACGUAGGGGGCAAGCGUUGUCCGGAUUUAUUGGGCGUAAAGCGCGUGUAGGCGGCCAGAUAGGUCUGCUGUGAAACUCGAGGCUCAACCUCGAGCUGUCGGCGGAAACCAUCUGGCUAGAGUCCGGAAGAGGAGAGUGGAAUUCCUGGUGUAGCGGUGAAAUGCGCAGAUAUCAGGAAGAACACCUAUGGCGAAGGCAGCUCUCUGGGACGGUACUGACGCUGAGACGCGAAAGCGUGGGGAGCGAACAGG
rnacentral:rRNA from 1 species